rnacentral:rRNA from 1 species
AGAGUUUGAUCCUGGCUCAGAAUGAACGUUGGCGGCGUGGAUUAGGCAUGCAAGUCGAACGGGCCGCAAGGCCAGUGGCGGAAGGGUGAGUAAGGCGACGGUAACCAACCCCGGAAAUGGGUAUAGCCGCGGGAAACUGCGGGUAAUCCCCAGCGACGUGUCGAGUCGGCAUCGGCUUGACACCAAAGCUCCGGCGUUCCGGGACGGGCCGUCGUGGUAUUAGCUAGUUGGCGGGGUAACGGCCCACCAAGGCUGCGAUGCCUACCGGGCGUGCGAGCGUGGCCCGGCACACUGGGACUGAGACACUGCCCAGACUCCUACGGGAGGCUGCAGUCGAGAAUCUUCGGCAAUGGGCGCAAGCCUGACCGAGCGACGCCGCGUGGAGGACGAAGGCCUUCGGGUUGUAAACUCCUGUCGAGGGGGAGGAAGGCGCAAGCUUGACCGAUCCCUGGAGGAAGCACGGGCUAAGUUCGUGCCAGCAGCCGCGGUAAGACGAACCGUGCGAACGUUAUUCGGAAUCACUGGGCUUAAAGCGCGUGUAGGCGGAUGGGCGCAUCGAUCGCUGAAAUCCCCCGGCUCAACCGGGGAACUGGCGUCGAGAUGGCCCGUCUCGAGGGGGGUAGGGGGACCUGGAACUUCCGGUGGAGCGGUGAAAUGCGUUGAGAUCGGAAGGAACGCCCGUGGCGAAAGCGAGGUCCUGGACCCUUUCUGACGCUGAGACGCGAAAGCCAGGGGAGCAAACGGGAUUAGAUACCCCGGUAGUCCUGGCUGUAAACGAUGAG